AGUGAACGCUGGCGGUAGGCCUAACACAUGCAAGUCGAACGGCAGCACAGUAAGAGCUCGCUUUUACGGGUGGCGAGUGGCGGACGGGUGAGGAAUACAUCGGCAUCUACUUUUUCGUGGGGGAUAACGUAGGGACACUUACGCUAAUACCGCAUACGACCUACGGGUGAAAGCAGGGGAUCUUCGGACCUUGCGCGAUUGAAUGAGCUGAUGUCGGAUUAGCUAGUUGGCGGGGUAAAGGCCCACCAAGGCGACGAUCCGUAGCUGGUCUGAGAGGAUGAUCAGCCACACUGGAACUGAGACACGGUCCAGACUCCUACGGGAGGCAGCAGUGGGGAAUAUUGGACAAUGGGCGCAAGCCUGAUCCAGCCAUACCGCGUGGGUGAAGAAGGCCUUCGGGUUGUAAAGCCCUUUUGUUGGGAAAGAAAAGCAGCAGGUUAAUACCCCGCUGUUCUGACGGUACCCAAAGAAUAAGCACCGGCUAACUUCGUG
rnacentral:rRNA from 1 species